GCGACCCCAGGUCAGGCGGGACUACCCGCUGAAUUUAAGCAUAUCAAUAAGCGGAGGAAAAGAAACUAACAAGGAUUCCCCUAGUAACGGCGAGCGAA
rnacentral:rRNA from 1 species